AUGGCGGCUACGCGAACUCAGUGUUGUGUACAACGACGGCGCGCGCGCAUGCCGCGACGCGUUCCAAACUUAAAUUUAAACAACGAAACAAACGAAAAGUGAACAGUGUUCCAAAAUCGAAAUUCAAAAUUGUUCUGUUCGAAUGCUGUGUUCAAAAUGCUGUAGUGACGUGCCUAAUUGUGUAGGGUUGUUUUUUUUUUCAUAGAGUUAGUAAGUACUAGAAGUGGACAAGUGCAAACUAUUGUUUUCUUUGUUGAUCUGCACCAGCUGUCAAAAUAAACGGAUUAUCAAGAUUUAUCCAGUUUGCCUUACUACAAUAAUAUAAAGGUA
rnacentral:lncRNA from 1 species